UGUGUGUUUACUACAGGUUAGACCUGUUACACAUGUGUGUUUACUACAGGUUAGACCUGUUACACAUGGGUGUUUACUACAGGUUAGACCUGUUACACAUGUGUGUUUACUACAGGUUAGACCUGUUACACAUGUGUGUUUACUACAGGUUAGACCUGUUACACAUGUGUGUUUACUACAGGUUAGACCUGUUACACAUGUGUGUUUACUACAGGUUAGACCUGUUACACAUGUGUGUUUACUACAGGUUAGACCUGUUACACAUGUGUGUUUACUACAGGUUAGUCCUGUUACACAUGUGUGUUUACUACAGGUUAGUCCUGUUACACAUGUGUGUUUACUACAGGUUAGUCCUGUUACACAUGUGUGUUUACUACAGGUUAGACCUGUUACACAUGUGUGUUUACUACAGG